AUUGAACGCUGGCGGCAGGCCUAACACAUGCAAGUCGAACGAGUGGCGGACGGGUGAGUAAUGUCUGGGAAACUGCCUGAUGGAGGGGGAUAACUACUGGAAACGGUAGCUAAUACCGCAUACCAUCAGAUGUGCCCAGAUGGGAUUAGCUAGUUGGUGGGGUAACGGCACACCAAGGCGACGAUCCCUAGCUGGUCUGAGAGGAGGACAAGCGAAGCUGAAACGAAGAAACGGUCCAGAAUGCUACGGGAGGCGGCAGUGGGGAAUAUUGCACAAGGGGCGCAAGCCUGAUACAGCCAUGACGCUUGUAGGAAGAAGGCCUUCGGGUUGUAAAGUACUUUCAGCGAGGAGGCGUUACCCGCAGAGGAAGCACAGGCUAACUCCGUGCCAGCAGCCGCGGUAAUUC
rnacentral:rRNA from 1 species